rnacentral:RNase_P_RNA from 1 species
UGAGUGAAACGGGCGAUCGCGGCUCCGAUUCGGAGGUGAGGAAAGUCCGGGCUUCACAGGGCAGGAUGCCGGAUAACGUCCGGUAGAGGUGACUCUCAGGAAAGUGCAACAGAAAACAACCGCCGCGCAAGCGGUAAGGGUGAAAAGGCGGUGUAAGAGACCACCGCUUAUCCGGUAACGGAUAAGGCUGUGUAAACCCCAUCCGAAGCAAGACCAAACGUAGCCUAUAAGCUUGCCCGGCUUGGCUCAGGUAGGUUGCUUGAAAUUCGUGGCAACACGGAUUCUAGACAGAUGAUCGUCCAAGACAGAACCCGGCUUACAGUUUCACUCGGAUC